rnacentral:lncRNA from 1 species
UACAGGAAUCCAGCAUCAGCUCAACAUAUAAGUUCCAGUGACAGACUGACAAUUUACUUUCAUGCAGUCUUGUCAAAAGACUUCAAAUUUAACCUAGAAGAAGAUCUUAUCUUCAUAAGGGCCGGUGGUUGCCUUGGUGACUGGGAAAAUAAUUUGGUCGAGCUGUCUGUGUCACGGGAUCUCGGUGAGCAUGGAUUUCUUAUCGAGGGGAAAUUCGUAUGCAAGAAGACCAGUGCAGAAGCUGUGUCCAUACCAUACAAGUAUGUUGUAUAUAAAGCAAAAAAGCAGAAGUAUGAGUAUGAAUACAUCUACAAACUGGAUUCAAAUGAAACCACCAACAGAUGUUUGUUUGUCAAACCACGUCUCCUAAAUGAUGAAGGAGAAUGGCAUCAGUAUGACGAUAUCAUCUGUGUAGAACCUUCUAAGAAUAUGUUGAAACGGCUCAAAGAUGCUUUUUGGCCUGAUCAGAGGAAAGAUGUAAUUCAGGGGAGAGAAAUCGCUGGUAUAGUCAUGCUGGAAACUAUUUUUGACCUCCUGAGAAACUGGGGCAAAAUUAACCUCUACAGCUUCUUUAGUCAGCUGCGACAAUUUUAUGAAGUUUAUGGAAACCCUUUUGUAUUUGAAAAGACAGAAAUGAAGUGGUACUCACUCAAUUACGAUGAAAAAGAUGUGAGCAAGCUUCUGAAGCAGUUCAUGCUUCAGCAGGUGACUCCAGAGUUACAGAAAGACAGCAAAGAAAGGAGUACUUUCAUCAAGGAGCCACUGAAGGCUGCUCUUAUUAUGCUCUAUGUGUGGAAACAGUAUCAUCUAGAAUUAGACAACGGGAUUCUUUCUCGUCUCUGCACUGCCCUUUGCCUGCCGAAAUUACCUAAGGAUGAGUUCCUGUCUUUCUGGGCUGACAUAAUGGAAUCAUUCUCAGUGAUAAAAAACUUGUCUGAGAUGGUGGAGGCACUGAUCCUCAGAGUGAGAGCUGCCAACAUGAUUAGAUGGAUCAUCGUAAUUCCACUACUGCAUCUUCUCAAAGGCACCUCAAAACCAUUUGAGCCAGUGUUUAUUAAGGUCAACCUACAAUUUCAGCAGAACUGGGCUGGACUGCAGGGACUCAAAUCAGCUAAUAUAACUUACCCCGGAAGCCAAGAUAGAAGGGCGAUGUUGAAUCUCAUGGAAACACAUGGACAUUUGGUGGAGGUGGACAAACUGCUGGCCAGAUCUUGGAUGUAUCUGAUGACUAGAUGAGUUGGUCAAGUGCAGCUCCAUCAUCCAUGCAGAACUCUUGGACAUCCUGCAGCUUUUCACCAUGAAAUGUCCCGAUGAUAUAUGCUACAGCACUUCCACCGUGAGUGUCAAGACAUCACAAGAAAUAACCAUAGAGUAUAUUGUACAAACCAU